GUAAAGCUCGCUCCAUCCCCCUAUCCACAUCUCACGCACGCGAGGUCGCGAGCGCCGCCGGGUCCUCGGCUGGGGGCGCCAUUCCCCUUGCUUGCCGGCUACACCGCGUGCUCAGCCCCUCGUCGCCGCCGGAUCUGGCGGCCCCAUCCCACCUCUCUCGUUGGCUCCACCACUCGAGGAUCCUCUCCGCCAGCACCUGCGCCACGGCGGCCGGGCUGGAGCAAGUGUUGUUCGAUGCUGGCCACGCCCCUUGCCCGCAUGCCGCGCAGGGGCUCUGUGGCGGCACUGCGGCAGGUGCGGAGUUCCGCCUCCGCCUGGCAGGAGCGCCGCUACCACGGCCCCAUCUCUCUUCUCCGCUCGUCCAAGGCGGUCGUGCGGCCACAACACCUAUCUCUUGACUCUCGUGCCCUCCGUGCACCCAAGUAGUGUCAGGAGAUGCUAGAUAGCUUGCUUGAUGAUGUCAACGUCAAACCGUUCAAAGUACUCAUGGAAGUUGUGUUUUGUUCGGACCUACCUAGAGAUAAAACAAUGAUCUAGAAGAUGAUGUGUUAAAAGUAGUGAAGUGCUCAGCUUUGUUACCGGUAUUUAGAUUUUUGGUUGUGUCUAUAGGCUUGGUCUUAUCUUCAGUCAAGUCUUUUGGGGUUCUUGAGCUGUGGUAAGCACUAUUUGGUGUUUAGUAUGGUAGAAAAUUUGGUUGUCUUCUCGUACCUCCUAGCUGAUAUGGAACCUUUGUUAUAUGCAGUUCUAGAAAAAUAUUGAACAACUAAUAUUUGUAUGGAUGAUCAAUGUCAAUGUUUUAUAUGCUCCUAUUGAAUCUAUAUCCAUAUUCGUA